rnacentral:rRNA from 1 species
GGAUUGGGGCUGCUUAACAUGCAAGUCGAACGGUAACAGGGAGCUUGCUCCGCUGACGAGUGGCGAACGGGUGAGUAAUACAUCGGAACGUGCCCAGUAAUGGGGGAUAGCUCGGCGAAAGCCGGAUUAAUACCGCAUACGCCCUGAGGGGGAAAGUGGGGGACCGCAAGGCCUCACGUUAUUGGAGCGGCCGAUGGCUGAUUAGCUAGUUGGUAGGGUAAAGGCCUACCAAGGCGACGAUCAGUAGCUGGUCUGAGAGGACGAUCAGCCACACUGGGACUGAGACACGGCCCAGACUCCUACGGGAGGCAGCAGUGGGGAAUUUUGGACAAUGGGGGAAACCCUGAUCCAGCAAUGCCGCGUGUGCGAAGAAGGCCUUCGGGUUGUAAAGCACUUUUGUCAGGGAAGAAAUCCUUUGGGCUAAUACCCUAGGGGGAUGACGGUACCUGAAGAAUAAGCACCGGCUAACUACGUGCCAGCAGCCGCGGUAAUACGUAGGGUGCAAGCGUUAAUCGGAAUUACUGGGCGUAAAGCGUGCGCAGGCGGUUGUGUAAGACAGGUGUGAAAUCCCCGGGCUUAACCUGGGAAUUGCAUUUGUGACUGCACGACU